rnacentral:rRNA from 1 species
AGACAAUAGAUACCCUGGUAGUCCACGCCGUAAGCGAUGAGUGCUAGGUGUUAGGGGUUUCGAUGCCCGUAGUGCCGAAAGUUAAACACAUUAAGCACUCCGCCUGGGGAGUACGGCCGCAAGGCUGAAACUCAAAGGAAUUGACGGGGACCCGCACAAGCAGUGGAGCAUGUGGUUUAAUUCGAAGCAACGCGAAGAACCUUACCAGGUCUUGACAUCCUUUGACCACCCAAGAGAUUGGGCUUCCCCUUCGGGGGCAAAGUGACAGGUGGUGCAUGGUUGUCGUCAGCUCGUGUCGUGAGAUGUUGGGUUAAGUCCCGCAACGAGCGCAACCCUUGAUCUUAGUUGCCAGCAUUGAGUUGGGCACUCUAAGGUGACUGCCGGUGACAAACCGGAGGAAGGUGGGGAUGACGUCAAAUCAUCAUGCCCCUUAUGACCUGGGCUACACACGUGCUACAAUGGAUGGUACAAAGGGCAGCGAAACCCGCGAGGUGAAGCCAAUCCCAUAAAGCCAUUCUCAGUUCGGAUUGCAGG